rnacentral:rRNA from 1 species
UCUUGGUCAUUUAGAGGAAGUAAAAGUCGUAACAAGGUUUCCGUAGGUGAACCUGCGGAAGGAUCAUUACCGAGUUUUCGAGCUCCGGCUCGACUCUCCCACCCUUUGUGAACGUACCUCUGUUGCUUUGGCGGCUCCGGCCGCCAAAGGACCUUCAAACUCCAGUCAGUAAACGCAGACGUCUGAUAAACAAGUUAAUAAACUAAAACUUUCAACAACGGAUCUCUUGGUUCUGGCAUCGAUGAAGAACGCAGCGAAAUGCGAUAAGUAAUGUGAAUUGCAGAAUUCAGUGAAUCAUCGAAUCUUUGAACGCACAUUGCGCCCCUUGGUAUUCCGGGGGGCAUGCCUGUUCGAGCGUCAUUACAACCCUCAAGCUCUGCUUGGAAUUGGGCACCGUCCUCACUGCGGACGCGCCUCAAAGACCUCGGCGGUGGCUGUUCAGCCCUCAAGCGUAGUAGAAUACACCUCGCUUUGGAGCGGUUGGCGUCGCCCGCCGGACGAACCUUCUGAACUUUUCUCAAGGUUGACCUCGGAUCAGGUAGGGAUACCCGCUGAACUUAAGCAUAUCAAUAAGCGGAGGAA